rnacentral:rRNA from 1 species
UACCAGCACCCCGAGUGGUCGGGACGAUUAUUGGGCCUAAAGCAUCCGUAGCCGGUUUUACAAGUCCUCCGUUAAAUCCAACUACUUAACAGAUGGGCCGCGGAGGAUACUAUAAGACUAGGAGGCAGGAGAGGCAAGCGGUACUCAGUGGGUAGGGGUAAAAUCCGUUGAUCCAUUGAAGACCACCAGUGGCGAAGGCGGCUUGCCAGAAUGCGCUCGACGGUGAGGGAUGAAAGCUGGGGGAGCAAACCGG